rnacentral:lncRNA from 1 species
AACUGAAUUAAUUCUUCUUCCAUUUUCUUUUCAGGUUACAGAUGAGCAUUUUAGAAUAUGGGAUAAGAAGAAGAGAAGAGUGGUGUCAAUAUUAGAGCAAGUCAGUAGCAUCUGGGUACCAACAGUGCACUGUAAUCUUACAGUUUAUGGAACUGCUUUCUUCAGCUAUAUUCUCCUGCCUGGUGGCUUGGGCCUCCUGCAUUUUUCUGGAUUUCUGACUGCUUGGCUUUUCCACCCAACAGAUGUUUUUGUUGUCUGGUUAGAGACCUCUUCUCCUGUAUCAUAAGGGGCUACAGUAAAGUCCUGCCAACAGUUUAAUGCCAUCUUUCUCCUUCAAGAGGAUGUGAACCCAACCUUCUGAGACUGGAGGUGGGAGGAAACAGUGAGAAGAAACCACCACUUUCUCCAUUUUCCAGAAUAACUCAGUAACCUGAUCAUUCAGUGAGGUA